rnacentral:tRNA from 1 species
AGUAGUUCAAUUGGUAGAGCGUCGGUCUCCAAAACCGGAAGUUGAGGGUUCGAGUCCUUCCUG